UUCUCUCCAGAUGAUACCAUCCUACUAUCUCUUGAUAGAAACUUUCACAGCACUGCCUGAGGAAAGGGAAAAUCCCAACACACAUGCAUACACCUCCUUUAGUUCCUAGAAGGAUACUCUAGCUCAGUGCCUAUCAGGUUGCUGUAGCCAAGGAUUUUACAGCUGUACUUAGAGAAGAUAAUCUAUGAUUGGUCCAUCUCAUCUGUAUGAUCACAGAGGACCUUGUGGUGCUGUUCUCAGGAAUAUGCGAGGUGUGAAUUCUCCAAGAUGUCACACAACCUGUCAACAAUACCUGAAAUCAAAUGUCUAGACACUGAGGAUCUGGGCUUUGGAGAAUGAAGCAUCUGCAUCCUUCUGACAGGCUGUGGAAGGAGCCCGUCCCAAGAAAGAAUUCCUGGUGGGCCACUUCCUGUUCACAUUGCUGUCUUUCUCACGAGAAUCCACUCUCAAUCCCUGUGCCUCCUUGUGGGCUCUGACAGAUGGUGGCAUCCUACUGGACUCUGACUGAGCAAAGCAAGAAAGAGCCAAUGACAUGAUACAGCAGCAGUGGUGCUGGAGUGUGAGGCAAAAUCCACAGCCAACACUCACAAGAACUGCAGCAAGAAUGAAAAAUACUUAUGUGACUGCUUGUGGCAACUCCAGAUAAAAAUAAUGCAGAGAUACUUCAAAAACUCUAUCCUAUUUUGUUUAAUGCAUGUUAGGUUAUAUCUAUGGGGUCCUGAUUCUAUGUAGAGAUUUCUUGAGAAGUGUUAAUCACUUUUGAUGCUUAUCCAGACAGCUUAGGAAUAAUCAGGAGAUCUUUGAUACUCUGUACAGUUGCCCUUGGAAUAACUGUUCUGCCAGCACUGCUGUUAAUCUAAACUCCUAUCUUAUCUGCCUUGAGUGAAGAACACUCUCUGAGAGGGCUUGAGAAAACAAUUCUUGCUAAGUAGAUGUUGUAAGGAUGGUACUGUUAGGUUGUGUAGUGCCACACUGCACCUGUGUACCGGUACUGUGCAUAUCAUAUGGAGAAACAGGAAGCACUGGGAAGCUGAGGUCCACUGAAUCCUGAGAUUAAUUGAUCACAAACUGUAGGCUUGGAAACCACUACCUUUAACUUGGUUACUCUUGUAGAUGCACAAAGAAACCUAUUUAGACAAGACUUUACCUUAUGGAAAAUAUCCAAGUUUUUAAACUGUUAGCUAAAAACAGUGGCUUUGAUAAAAGGAAGGUAAAGAAUCUCAUUCUCUCACUCUUCUCUCACUAGUAAAACCAAAUUAUUAACCAGUUGUCUCACGCCAAGUUUCAGAAAUUAGGUAGAAAGACAACUAAAUGUGAAAGACAGGUGAUUAUGGAAAAGUCUGUCAAGGCGUUUUCAACCUGGAGGCAGACUGGUAUAAAACAAAUACAGAAAGCAUGUGAUGCAGACAUAAGAAAAAAAUUGAUAGAUCUGAUUUUUUUUUUUUUUAAGAAAAAGUUAUCUCCAGAAUCUAAGAGGGACUUCCCUAUUCAAUGAGACUCAAUUACUGGACAGAAAUAAUCAACAAGCCACUGAGUAAAGAACUCUUUUUCUCCCCCAACCACUUCCUUUUUGGAAAUACCUUUUAUUCCUGAUAGGUUGGAAGAAACUUGACAGGAAAUUGAUAAGAGAAUGGCAAUGCUGUUCUUUAGAUGAAGAGUCUGACUGGCUGAGUGUAGCCAAUGAAGCUCAUUGGUGACACAUGAAUAAACACCAAGCCAGAGCCCUGCCCUGGAGGGCAGCAUGAGAUUGUGUUGUUCUAGAGAAAGUCCUAGAGACAAUCUUGGAAUGUUUCUUGUGAAAUUAAAAGUAUGUUCAAAUUCCCUUUUCUGUUAAAAUGGUAUUCUAUUCCCUGAUAUUUCGUAGAAGUUUCUGUGUAUUACUUAUCUUAGUUGAUCCCGUUAUUGAAUAAUAAAUGCAGAUUGUGGAAAUGUGCCAGAGGGUGCAGUUUCAAAAACACCAUCACAUGCUCUGGUUUCCAGUUUUAUCUCUA